rnacentral:piRNA from 1 species
UGGUGAUAAGGCUUGUAGGUGAGG